rnacentral:misc_RNA from 1 species
GUCUGAACUUACACCGCAAUGCCGGAUCUCAGACGAGUGCACCGUUUUCGCGACCACGCCAUGGCAGGCGUCAACUGGCGACCGACUCGCUUUGUCGACGAGGUGCACAGUUCGCGUGUGUGUGCCCUCUGUCGCAUGAUUCCGAAGAGGACUGUGCUUUUGCCAUGUGACCACGCCCUUUGCCAAUGGUGCCACGCAGCUAACUCCCAAGGUUGUAGUGGGCGGUGUCCGUUGGAUCAAGAGCCGUUCGAUGAAGCGGAAUGUACGAGUUGUGAAUUCCCCACCCGAAAGGCGAACGCCAUGAAGGUUUAUUGCUGGAACGAAGC